rfam:Schistosoma haematobium scaffold821_22, whole genome shotgun sequence.
GUCCAGCUGACGAGUUCCGAAUAGGACGAAACACGCGUCAAACUGAAU